GACGAACGCCGGCGGCGUGCCUAAUACAUGCAAGUUGAGCGAUGAAGAUUGGUGCUUGCACCAAUUUGAAGAGCAGCGAACGGGUGAGUAACGCGUGGGGAAUCUGCCUUUGAGCGGGGGACAACAUUUGGAAACGAAUGCUAAUACCGCAUAACAACUUUAAACAUAAGUUUUAAGUUUGAAAGAUGCAAUUGCAUCACUCAAAGAUGAUCCCGCGUUGUAUUAGCUAGUUGGUGAGGUAAAGGCUCACCAAGGCGAUGAUACAUAGCCGACCUGAGAGGGUGAUCGGCCACAUUGGGACUGAGACACGGCCCAAACUCCUACGGGAGGCAGCAGUAGGGAAUCUUCGGCAAUGGACGAAAGUCUGACCGAGCAACGCCGCGUGAGUGAAGAAGGUUUUCGGAUCGUAAAACUCUGUUGGUAGAGAAGAACGUUGGUGAGAGUGGAAAGCUCAUCAAGUGACGGUAACUACCCAGAAAGGGACGGCUAACUAUGUGCCAGCAGCCGCGGUAAUACGUAGGUCCCGAGCGUUGUCCGGAUUUAUUGGGCGUAAAGCGAGCGCAGGUGGUUUAUUAAGUCUGGUGUAAAAGGCAGUGGCUCAACCAUUGUAUGCAUUGGAAACUGGUAGACUUGAGUGCAGGAGAGGAGAGUGGAAUUCCAUGU
rnacentral:rRNA from 1 species